GAAGUAAAAGUCGUAACAAGGUUUCCGUAGGUGAACCUGCGGAAGGAUCAUUAAUGAAUUCACUAUGGAGUUGUUGCUGGCCUCUAGGGGCAUGUGCACGCUUCACUAGUCUUUCAACCACCUGUGAACUUUUGAUAGAUCUGUGAAGUCGUCUUUCAAGUCGUCAGACUUGGUUGUUGGGAUUUAAACGUUUCGGGGUGGCUACCCGAUCUAUUUACUUACACACCCCAAAUGUGUGUGUACAAAAGUGAUUUAAAGGGGGUUGUGCCUUUAUACCCUAAAACACCUCUUAACAAAAGAUAUCUUGGGUCUCUCAUCUCUGAAAAAAGCACCGAAAAGUGAUAAAUAAAGUGAAAAGUGGAAAACACUGAAACAUAUAAACUUUUAACGCACCCUGUGCCCCCUGGGAUUUCGAGGGGCAUGCCUGUGUGAGAGUGAUUAAAUUCUCUAACACACAUUGGUUUUUUUCCAAUUGUGAUGUUUGGAUUGUUGGGGGCUGCUGGCCUUGACAGGUCGGCUCCUCUUAAAUGCAUUAGCAGGACUUCUCAUUGCCUCUGCGCAUGAUGUGAUAAUUAUCACUCAUCAAUAGCACGCAUGAAUAGAGUCCAGCUCUCUAAUCGUCCGCAAGGACAAUUUGACAAUUUGACCUCAAAUCAGGUAGGACUACCCGCUGAACUUAAGCAUAU
rnacentral:rRNA from 1 species